UCAGAAGGUCGGACAAUCGCGGUCGCAAGAUUGAGGAAAGUCCGGACUUCGCAGAAGCAGGAUGACGGCUAACGGCCGCCCGGGGCAACCCGCGGGAAAGUGUCGCAGAAAAUAAACCGCCCGCAUUUUGCGGGUAAGGGUGAAAAGGCGAGGUAAAAGCUCACCGCUUUGCUGGUAACAGGAAAGGCACGAUAAACCCCAUCCGAAGCAAGACCAAGUCGUGGCGCUUGAGAAAAGGGAAAGCUUCUGUUCCCCCACAAGGUAGGUCGCUAGAGGUUGUCUGCAAAGGCAACACCAGAUGAAUGAUUGUCAUAACAAAAUCCGGCUUACAGACCUUCUGACUUA
rnacentral:RNase_P_RNA from 1 species